ensembl:lncRNA
GCCGUUUCAGAGCACUUUAUUGUUCAUUGACUUAAGUACAAAAACUUUUUCAAUUGGAGAAACAAGGCCACAAAAUUAAGGUUUAAUAAAGAUUUUACAGUUUGGAGAGUACAAUACAUAGUACUACAGUACUACUACAUAGUACUACAGUACUACUACAUAGUACUACUACAUAGUAGUACUACAGUACUACAGUACUACUACAUAGUACUACAACAUAGUACUAGGUUUUACAAUGUUGAUGCAGCUUGAAAGUUGUGUGUGUCAGUGGGACCCGAUUCCCAUAAUGCAUUACCUUUGUCAGGGAAUACAGUUGAAGUCAGAAUUUAACAUACACUUAGGUUGGAGUCAUUCAAACUCAUUUUUCAACCACUACACAAAUGUCUUGUUAACAAAUUAGUUUUGGCAAGUUGGUUAGGACAUCUAGUGUGUGCAUGACACAAGUCAUUUUUCCAACUAUCUGUUUUAGAUUAUCUCACUUAUAAUUCACUGUAUCACAAUUCCAGUUGGUCAGAAGUUUACAUACACUAAGUUGACUGUGCCUUUAAACAGAUUGGAAAAUUCUAGAAAAUGUCAUGGCUUUAGAAGCUUCUGAUAGGCUAAUUGACAUAAUUUGAGUCAAUUGGAGGUGUACCUGUGGAUGUAUUUCAAGGCCUACCUUCAAACUCAGUGCCUCUUCGCUUGACAUCAUGGGAAAAUCAAAAGAAAUCAACCAAGACCUCAGAAUGUGUUUUUACGUACUUUGAUGAGAAAAGUGCAAAUCAAUCCCAGAACAACAGCAAAGGACAUUGUAAAGUUGCUGGAGGAAACAGGUACAAAAGUAUCUACAUCCACAGUAAAACGAGUACUAUAUCGACAUAACCUGAAAGGCCACUCAGCAAGGAAGAAGCCACUGCUCCUAAACCGCCAUAAAAAAGCCAGACUACGGUUUGCAACUACAUAUGGGGACAUAGAUGGUACUUUUUGGAGAAAUGUCCUCUGCUCUGAUGAAACAAAUGGAACUGUUUGGCCAUAAUGACCAUCGUUAUGUUUGGAGGAAAAAAGGGGGAUGCUUGCAAGCCGAAGAACACCAUCCCAACCGUGAAGCACGGGGGUGGCAGCACCAUGUUGUGGGGGUGCUUUGCUGCAGGAGGGACUGGUUCACUUCACAAAAUAGAUGGCAUCAUGAGGGGGGAAAAUUAUGUGGAUAUAUUGAAGCAACAUCUCAAGACAUAAGACUUAACUGACCGGGGAAUUUUUUACGAGGAUUAAAUUUCAGAAAUUGUGGAAAAACUGAGUUUAAAUAUAUUUGGCUAAGGUGUAUGUAAACUUUUGACUUCAACGGUAUAUUCCCUGUAUAGUGCACUACUUUUGAGAGAAGGGUGCUACUUAGGACACAGCUGUUGAUUUAGAAGCACACAGCCAGUCUUCCUGUGAUCUACCAUUAAAUAACAUGACUAAUACAGUAGUGUUCGGAUCUCACAAACAAGAUGGACGACAAAGAUAGUCUCAAAAAAAAAAUCACUGUCCCGAAUGACCCCCCAAUUCCCUAUUUAGUGCACUACUUUUGUCCUCUGGUAGUGUACUAUAAAGGGAAGAGACUGUCAUUUGGGAUAUACCUUUUGUAGAGUAUCUGCUGAGUAGCCUUGAUUCAGCAUUAUACACAUUAUGCGUCAUAAUACACAAGUGGCUAUCAUCAACGCAGUGUUUAUAUUAUUACUGUGUUCCUGCACUUUAACCUUUUAAAAGAACAACUCUAAAAACAAAAAAAAAGAUCAACUUUUUAAAACAUUUAUUUUAUACACAAACAAAAAAAAGGGGGAAAAUUAAAUAGCUACAUGUCAUUAAACAAAUUGAUCCUCAAAAAAUACCUACAAUUUUCUCUGUACAAUCGUUACGCACAGCGUAAUGAUGGUCUCAUAAUUAACUAUAUAUAAAAAGUUGUUUUUUUAUUAAGUGAUUUUCCUACAGCGUGUAGGGCAUUGUGUUGCCAUAGCAGAAUGAGUGAGAGCCUCCAAAUGUUUUUGAAAAAUUCUGGUAGCUUUCCAAAAAAAUAAUAAUUCCCAGGUCACCGGAAAUGUGCGACCCUAGUGACGCGUUUUUAUAACGAAAUGACCUCUGGACACUACACCUCUUCCCUUUCUGUUCAUGCACAUUAUAAUUGAUCAUUCUUUUAAAGGACAUUAUCAACGUUUUAGUUCUCUCAUAACAUUUACCGAAAGUACAAUGUGAAAAUCAACCAGUCAUCUUUGAAGAACUAUACAUUAGUUUUUGUUUAAAUCUGAACUCAGAUUAAAGUCAAUAAUAAUAACAUCAACUGACUAGCAGCUGGAUCAGCUCUGAGAGAAUAUGGUUUAGUUUCAGCUGGAUCCGGUCUCUGAGAAAAUAUGGUUUAGGUUCAGCUGGAUCCGGUCUCUGAGAGAAUAUGGUUUAGUUUCAGCUGGAUCCGGUCUCUGAGAGAAUAUGGUUUAGGUUCAGCUGGAUCCGGUCUCUGAGAGAAUAUGGUUUAGGUUCAGCUGGAUCCGGUCUCUGAGAGAAUAUGGUUUAGGUUCAGCUGGAUCCGGUCUCUGAGAGAAUAUGGUUUAGGUUCAGCUGGAUCCAGUCUCUGAGAGAAUAUGGUUUAGGUUCAGCUGGAUCCGGUCUCAGAGAGAAUAUGGUUUAGGUUCAGCUGGAUCCGGUCUCUGAGAGAAUAUGGUUUAGGCUCCGUCCCUAAUGACAUCCCUAAUCGUUAUGCACUAAAUGUGGCCAGACAAAGUGUGAAGCUUUACAUUGGGAAUAGGGUUCCAUGUAGGACGUGUAGCCUUGGUGUAGUUACAGGAACUAUAGAUUUGACUUGGGAUGAUGGAAUGUAAGGGCAUAUAAGAGCUGUAUAGACAGUGCUUCAUCAACCCUUAAGCUUUAACCAUGUUCUGUCACCUUCACCACUAGAUUUGCACCUUACGGUUACAUCCCCCAAAAUUCUCAGGUUUUCUAUCAAUUCUGGUUGUUUGGAAGAUUUGUGGAUUUUCCAACCAGGAUUUUCCGGAAAAAAAUCAAGGAAUUUUCAGGGAAUGUUUCCGGAAUGUUGCAACACUAAAUCACCACCUUUCUGUUACUAAGUUAGUAGCUAUACUAAUACUGAUAUGAAUGCAACACCUGUCCUAGGUUCCCUAUAGGAAGGAAUGUCUGCUGCCUUGGUACAGGAGUUAGUAAAACAAGUUCGUUUCACAAGCUGCAGCUGCCUAUCUACCCAGUGAGCAAAAUAGUUUGAAAGACUUAUUUUCAACAUCUUGUGCUCAUAAGAUGCAUUCCGCUACACACCCACAGUUGUUCAUCAGAGAAGUAGAAACAACAACGACAUGAAAAACACAACAUUUAAAAAAAAACUAGUGGACAGAAAGAAAAAGAAGGUUCUGAUAAAAGGUCGACUCUGGGUCGAUCUCGCCGGCUGGUUUGUUGCGUUAAUUCCAUUUUCAGUCAUGCAGAACAAAAAACGCAGUAGCAUCCAGGGAUUAUCAAUAACGCUAUAGAACGAUUACGGUAACGUUACAGAAAACAUAUUAUUGUUAUAGAUUAGAAUCUAAACUGAUCAUAUAGAAGAGUACAGAAGGCCUGUCCGGAGGCUGUCCUCUGUGUCGCUAGCUGGUUGCUACCAGAGAGAACUGAAGAAUACUACAUAUUAACAUGGAGUCUAACUGGACCAGCAGUAAAUGCAGCUACAACGGAUGUUGUUAUUGCAGAAAACAAAUAUAUAAAACAAAAACAAUGUAACUUGUAAUAAGAUUGAAAUGUCUAAUAAACAUGAAUAGAUACCAGCUAUUUAAAAACAAAAUAUCCACCUUAUUCUGUAAGCACUACUUUUACUUGACCAAUUAAACCAGAGAGCAAAAUUCUACCUACCACACCACAGUGCCGCAGAGAGAAACAUAAUCUACCUACCACACCACAGUGCCGCAGAGAGAGACAUAAUCUACCUCUACCUACCACACCACAGUGCCGCAGAGAGACAUAAUCUACCUACCACACCACAGUGCCGCAGAGAGACAUAAUCUACCUCUACCUACCACACCACAGUGCUGCAGAGAGA